AUCCUCAGGGCGUUAUCUCAAGUGAGGAUCAUCGUCUGGCUCUAAUGAGCACUUUCAUUUCCAGGUGGCGAGGAAGUGGGAGCUCUCGGGAAAAGCAGAAAAGGAUCGGGAGAUAUGGGUGGGGGAAAGAAAAAUUAAACUGUCCUGAGACGUGGCGUGUAAGAGAAUCAACCUUUGUGAGGAAGCCCUAGAGGAGCCUUCUAGACCUCCAGCUAAGUCUCUAAAUUUCUGCUUCAUCAUCCAGCCUGGUGGUAAUAAUUCCUAAAAGAUAACUUCCAAAAGGACACCGAUAACUGGUAAAGUGGAAGGCUUUGUGUGAGUAACUCCGCUGUGUCUCCUCGGAGGAACUUGUAGAACUGUUGCCAAGAGGAUGUCUUUCCACUCUUAUCUCUGGAGCUGUGAUCAGAAGAAUGAGACAUUUCCUCAUGGAACCUUCUUUUUACCUCUGAGCAGACUAGAGCAUCCAGGCCUCUUACAGAACCUGAGGAUGGAAAGGUCCCUUAGAGGUCACCUGGUGUAACACAUCCUGGACAAAUGGCUGCCCAGUCACUGCCUGAACAUUUCUUGUGAUUGGCGAGGCAGGGGGCAGGAGGAGACUCACUCCCUCAUUCUAAGGCACCCCCUUUCAUUUUUGGAUGGCUCUACUUAUUAAUUCUGGAAAAUGCCUCUAACCGCCAAGCAGAGGUCUCAGUUCUAUCUUUUGGAUUCACACAGAAUUAAGACAGUUCUUUCCUCGGAUCACAGAACUUCGAAUAUUUGGAAACAGCAAUCAUCUGAAUGUCCAGUUCUCACCAUGUCACUUCCUCUUCAAUAAAUGCCAUUGGUUCCCUAUAACUAGGACCAAAUACAGGCCCCUGGCCGGCCUUUAAAGCCCUUCCCAAUUUGGCUACAAGCUACCUUUCUAGGCUUACUGUGCAUUAUUAUCUCCCCCCACACUCUAUGAUCUGCUCCAACACACUUUCCUGCUCUUCCUCAAACUCAUUUCACUCAUCCCUAGGCCUCUGCAAAGGCUAAUCUGGGUACUGCUUUAGAUAGUGACUUUGUCAUGAUAGGGGUCUGGCCGAACUCAGAGGUUUUCUCCUUGAGAAACUAAACUGAAGGAUGGACAAACCUAAGAUCAGGGGGAGAUCAGGGGAGCCCAGGACAAAGAUAGCUCCAGACCACCACAUCUCAUUCAAGCCUCUCCCACUCCAGUGGGACAUAAGCCCAUUGGGCAUGACUGCUACCUUAGCUGCAUCAGGGGACAGAGAUACCAGCACCUCUGAUUCAAGUCUUUCCCAUCCCACCCCUCUGUCAAGAUAAUUUUCAUCCCCCUAUUCAAGACACCUCCCUGGUGCUCUCCCUGUGGUCAUCAGUCUUUCAAUAAAA